UACAGAGGUUUCAAGCGUUGUUCGGAUUCAUUGGGCGUAAAGGGUGCGUAGGCGGCUUUGUAAGUCAGUGGUGAAAUAUGGCAGCUCAACUGUCAAGGUGCCAUUGAUACUGCGGAGCUUGAGUACAGAUGAGGUAGGCGGAAUUGCCGGUGUAGCGGUGAAAUGCUUAGAUAUCGUCAAGAACACCGAUAGCGAAGGCAGCUUACUAGGCUGUAACUGACGCUGAGGCACGAAAGUGUGGGGAUCAAACAGG
rnacentral:rRNA from 1 species